rnacentral:rRNA from 1 species
CACGUAGGGGGCAAGCGUUGUCCGGCUUUAUUGGGCGUAAAGAGCUCGUAGGCGGCUCAGUAAGUCGGGUGUGAAACCUCCAGGCUCAACCUGGAGACGCCACCUGAUACUGCUGUGGCUAGAGUCCGGUAGGGGAGCGUGGAAUUCCUGGUGUAGCGGUGAAAUGCGCAGAUAUCAGGAGGAACACCAGCGGCGAAGGCGGCGCUCUGGGCCGGAACUGACGCUGAGGAGCGAAAGCGUGGGUAGCAAACAGG